UACAUCUAUAUAUUAUAUAUUUAUAAUAUGUUUUUAAUAACACCAUCAAAAUUGUUUACAACUGCUGUGUUUGAUUGGCUGCCAAUGGAUUCUGGGAGUGGCAUUGCCUUAUCCUGCUUCUCUUAGGGCUCUCGUGGGUCGGUUGACAAUCACUCACUCGCCCAAACAUUACCAUAUUAUGCGGUACAUAAGUUGAGUCAGUGUGCUGAUUCCUGAUUCCAGAAGAUUUCGGUCUGACAACGUAUUUUGAGAUUUCGACCGGCAAAUCUCUACUGCGACAGUAAAUCCGCCAUCCAUAUCGUCUCCAAUCGAGCAUCUCAUGAACGAACAAAGCACGUCGAAAUCGAUUGCCAUUCGGUGAGAGAUAAGCUAAAGUCCUUGCAUCUACGGUCGUUAUUUCAUUCUUUGCUUCAGAAGUCCAAUCCAUCAAGUUCAUGUCUGCCUUCACACACCUGUAAAUUUGAAGGGGAAUCGCUACCUCGUAAGCGGUCGUGGGUUCUGUUUAGAUGGGGCCGAGUUUUCAGUCUCAGGAACUGUCGACUUCAAGAAGGCAAGAAGAAACCCAUAUUUCUGUCGACUGUGGGUAUAAUUGAUGGUUCCAUCAAAGAUGGGUCAUUUUUAAGACAAUGGUGCACGUGAUUUAAACAAUCAUUAGGUUAUGGAACCAAAGCAUAAACUAAACCAAAACGCAUGCACGCAUUUAAUUGCGAAAGAACAAACAAGAUUUGCACGUCAAGCAGUUCAAUCAAACCACAAUCUAAUGGACAUUACAUGAAAAUGUAGCUGCUGCUGCUCUCACAGCAACUCUGUUAACCAUGUCAUCAGACAGCCAAAAACCACAUCUAACCAUCUAUUACACCGCUACAUAUGACCAAAACACGCGCACUUAUUAUAUCGUCAUGUAAACAAGUUCGAUCUUUCCACACGAAUCCAUGUUUAUAUAAAAAACACGAACAAACCUAAGGUGAGAAGUUAAUGAUAGGAAAUGAUCAAACCUCUGCGUAUGAUCCUUCCGAACUGCAGAAUUUGCCACGGGUCAACCAUCGGUGCUGACGCCAAACCCCCAAAGUCGGAUCAAAGUGGGUCCAGCUGUGUGGUUUCAGAAGCUCUUCAGAAGAUGAACCCUAACCCUAAAUAUGAAAGCCCAGCACCAGACAUAACAUUUAUUGGUUGAUUCCACAUCUGUUUACUCAUAGUAACUAUUAAGAAAGGCGUUUCCAAUCGGGAUGCUCAUCAAAGCUCUGUUCAGAAAGAAGAGAGAGCAAAACCUUGGAGUCAACUCCAAACAGGCUUUUCCUCCGGCCAUCUGUCAAAGUUUGAACCUCUCCCGCAAUGAUGACGCCUGCAUAACCACCCCGCACAAGCUAUGAUCCAACUUCCU